rnacentral:rRNA from 1 species
GCCUGUGAAAUGAAUCUAAGUUCUUCCUUAAUCCCCCUCUACGGAUACCUACUUAAACCCACAUGUGACAGAUUAAGAGUAACUUAAAGGGGGUACAGCCCCUUUAAAAAAGAACACAACCUCCCCUAGAGGAUAAAUCACCACCAACCUAACUCCUGACCUGUGGGCCUUCAAGCAGCCAUCAAUAAAGAAUGCGUCAAAGCUCCACAUUUAAAAAUCCAAAAACAACCUGACUCCCUUACCCUUAACAGGCUAACCUAUGAUAAUAGGAGAAUUAAUGCUAAAAUAAGUAACAAGGGGCCCACCCUCUUAAGCGCAAGCUUACAUCCUCACAUUAUUAACAGGCUCCCACUAAUACUAUCAACCCUGACAAGACUAAAUAUUUACAACACCUGUUAACCCAACCCAGGAGCGCCCUCUAGAAAGAUUAAAUUCUGUAAAAGGAACUAGGCAAGCCCAGGGCCCGACUGUUUACCAAAAACAUAGCCUUCAGCCAUCCAAGUAUUGAAGGUGAUGCCUGCCCAGUGACACUGUUUAACGGCCGCGGUAUCCUA